GGGGCGGAUGUAGCCAAGUG
rnacentral:tRNA from 1 species